rnacentral:rRNA from 1 species
GAGUUUGAUCCUGGCUCAGGACGAACGCUGGCGGCGCGCCUAACACAUGCAAGUCGAACGGAGCUGAGAGGAGCUUGCUUUUCUUAGCUUAGUGGCGAACGGGUGAGUAACGCGUGAGUAACCUGCCCUGGAGUGGGGGACAACAGUUGGAAACGACUGCUAAUACCGCAUAAGCCCACGAUCCGGCAUCGGAUUGAGGGAAAAGGAUUUAUUCGCUUUAGGAUGGACUCGCGUCCGAUUAGUUAGUUGGUGAGGUAACGGCUCACCAAGACCGCGAUCGGUAGCCGGACUGAGAGGUUGAACGGCCACAUUGGGACUGAGACACGGCCCAGACUCCUACGGGAGGCAGCAGUGGGGGAUAUUGCGCAAUGGGGGCAACCCUGACGCAGCAACGCCGCGUGAAGGAUGAAGGUUUUCGGAUUGUAAACUUCUUUUAUUAAGGACGAAAAAUGACGGUACUUAAUGAAUAAGCUCCGGCUAACUACGUGCCAGCCGCCGCGGUAAUUC